rnacentral:lncRNA from 1 species
CCGCUGCCCUCCCUAGGUUCUAACCUACCCUGAGGACAGUCCCCGCCCCUGACCGCCGCCCUGCGGACCCCGCUUCUGACCCUGCCGAGGUCAGCAGGGACGCGGUGACCCAGUGCUCCUGCACAGGAAAUACAGUGACCUAACCAGGCCUGGCAGAAGGACCGGUCAAUGUGGAGAAGCCAGAGCCCGGCAGACACAGCAGCGGGAUCACGGCCUUCCUGAGCCCAGCCCUCCUGAGCCCAGCCCUCCUAAGCCCAGCCCUGCAGCUCCUGAACCCUCUCCAUUAACCAUGGGUUUCUGAUGCUUUGGCCUCUUGAGGCUCUUGAGGCUCUGCUGACCUUAGAGAGGCUGCCUCUCCCCAUUUAGCCAGGUCCUAGAGAGAGCAAAUGACUGAGUGCAAGCACCUUUCAUAUGCAAAGCAAUUAAGCCAGAGCUCACACCCCGCUACACCACUAUGCUCCUGGCCCCUGGCCCCUUGCCCUAAUCACCCCAGGGCCAGGUACCAGACAAGUAGGGACUGUCCCAUGCCCAGGGCCUGCAGAAAUUACUCAGACCAGCCAAUCCUAAACCUGCUUACCCUGCCUUGCCUGUUCUUUCCCAUGAAAAUCAGAAUCAACGCUCCCGCCCAUGUUUC